rnacentral:lncRNA from 1 species
GGGGUGCAAGUCGUACAUAUACUACCUUAUCCGUCAUUCGGGGAUGAAUCUUUCUACUAGGGAAGACUGAAACACCCUAGAUUCCUGAACCAUAGAAAAUUUCCUAAAUUUUUAGUCUCUAUAUAGGAUACGGCUAAGGGGUACCAAUUGUAUGUUGGGCUAUGGUUCGUAUAGGGUAGUCGUAUGCUGACCAAUAUUGGUUGGU